GCCGGGGUGGCGUAACCUGGCAGCCGCGCGUGACUCAAAAUCACGUGGGGGAAACCCCGUGCGGGUUCGACUCCCGCCCCCGGCACCA
rnacentral:tRNA from 1 species